GGGUGCAUGGUCUAGUGGUAUGAUUUUCGCUUCGCAUUGACCCAGAUGCGCUGCUGUGAAAGGUCCCCGGUUCGAUCCCGGGUGCAUCCA